AAGUGACGAAACCCUGCGAGCGCGGAGGUGGUGCUCGCCGCUGAAGAGCCGCCGCCGCCGCCGACGGCGGGGACGGACGUGAAAGGAAGAGGAGGCGGGAGCUGAUGGCAGGCAUUUCAAUGCCGGUUCAGAGCUCCUGGAAAUGCAACGGAAGGAUUUCUUACAGGCCAUUGCCGAUAUCCAGCACUGAGCUACCAGGCUGUGAGGUGGAUUUCUGGCAAAAAGGGGAGAUGGCUGCAUAGGGGAGACUUGAAUUAAGCAUGUUGGAACAAGUAAGCCUGGAAUUCAAGUUUGUUUCUUUACCUUGAUCAUCACUUGCUCCUUCCCCUUGAAGAUAUUGCAGCAUACCAAAACUGUGUCACCUACCAUUUUUUAUGAACAACUAGAUACCCCAGCAGUUAAACUACUAAAGUUGGCCUUAGGAAGGUGAAGUUUGAACCGCUCUUGAUUGAUAUCCAGUAACAAUUGUUGUAUAUGGAUAUUGCAUACAAUGUGAUUAAAAGACUCAAGAUUCUUGCAUACUGCAACGGUGUGAAUAAUAUAAUCCUGAGUUUGCUAGGAAUAGUAUCUUACUUUUGUAGAUUUGUUUGAGAUGACCAUGAUAGUCCCAUCAGAUUACCCAAUUUCACUUUUUAAAAAGAAAUUAGGUGGCCCUUGUUGAGAUUAUUUGAUUGAUUAAAAACAAUUUAGAACAUUUAUGAGGAUUUGUUAACCAUG